UGAUCAGCUAAGAUACUUAAAUGUUUUAGUUGUGAGUAAAAUAAUAUGCAUUCUCAAAGAAAGUAUCUUCAGACUUCAGUGGCCGAGACUCUAGAGUUAGCAAUGGAAAAAUUAGUCUUGGGCUUCUGUUUCUGCCCACAGUUUUCAAAUUAAGAACGAUGCUUUUGCACUUAAUGAAACAACCUCUAUUGCUCUUCAAGAGGACUCAGGAUAUCAGUUCUCCAGGCCCCUGGCGGUCCCCUUAGGGACGGGGUUUCACCGUGCUUGCCAGGAUGGUUUUGAUCUCCUGACCUUGUGAUCCAUCUGCCUUGGCCUCCCAAGGUGCUGUGAUUACAGGCAUGAGCCACCGCGCCCGGCGGUUGACGUUCUUUUAUCACCCUUCUGGCCACCACCUGGAGCACAGGACAUAUAACCUACCCCUGGCUUACUGAAAUCCCUUUUCAGUGUGAAAGCAGUAAACCUUUGUGCUCGUCUUUACAAAGUAAUAGCAGUUUGAAGUAAUUCUCUACAUUUUCGGCAUUGUUAUUACAUGGAUAAUUGCUUCUCACCCCCGUUGUCAAGUCUUAAGUGGCAUAAAACAUUUCAAUCACAUGUAGCUUUCUGGAGCAACGGACUAUGGGCUGAGGACUGAGGUUCCGGGAGCCACAGCAAGGCUAGCCGAUGCCAUCUUUCUGUCUCACUGCUGGAAGUUGAGAAUCACAGUGCUGAUCAUCAGAAACUUUCGAGCCUCCAGGAGGAGCCAAGGAGUUUUGAAGGCAUUUAAAACUUUGCAGUUUGUAUUCUGCUGCACCAGAGACAUCAUUGAAUCUUACAGCUGAUGCUACCUUCUUUCCCACACCUGGAUUCACCCAAAGUCCUGGAGAAUAGCACAUGGUGGAGAGAGACCCCUAACCAAUGUUCCCCUCUGAAAGAUAAGAGCAAGACACCUGGGGGAAAUGAGAACAAACUUGAACACUGUGGCACAUCUACUUAUAAUAACCAAAAACUGGAAAUAAUCAGAUAUCUCUCCAUGAAUAAAUGGUUAAACAAAACGUAGUACAACUUACUAUGGAUUACUACUCCCAAUAACAAGGAACAAACUGUCCAUGCAUUCGACAACCCGGAUGUAUCACCAAAGAACUAUGCUGACUGAAAAUAAAGUCAGUUUCCAAAGAUUAUAUAUGUAUAGAGAUGUAUAACUCCAGCAAUUUCAAACAAGUUUUCAAAGAAGAGUUUCCCUGCCACCCUCCUCAUAGAGCUAUUGACCUGGCAUCCUGGACUUUGAGGAACUAAGAUUGUCACUCACUUAAAGCAAUUGCUUCUUUCACAUUCUUUCUUCUAAGACAAAAUUACCCGCCCUGUACUACCAAGGCAAAGGAGAAUGUCAGAAGACUGCAGAUCAAGUAUGUUAAGUGUGCUUUCAUUUGGGAAAAGCCACUGAAUGGAAAAUCAAAUAUAUUUGUUAUGUGAUUCUGAUUACCCAGAUUAUAAUUUUCCUGGGACAUUUCAUUUUGCAGUAAAACCAUGCAACUUGAAAAGUAUAAGAGCAACAUUUUAAAAAAUUAAAAAUUUUUUAAAAUUAAAAAUGUCUUGUAAAAAAUAUAAAAACACAAAUAAGAAAAGCUUCUCAGAAUUCAAAUUGGAGACCAGAGGAAAAUAAUUCCUGUUGAUGAGUAAUUACAUAAGUGACAAUUUAACAGGGAAAAGCAAGAAAAAAAGAGUUUGUCACUAAUCAAGGGUAGCACGUGAUAUAAAACAGCAAACAGAUUGACUAGCCUUUGAGAGUAGAAUUCUUGACCAUCCCAUUCAGGGGCUAGCAAAGUAGCUUCUUAACUACUUCUUCCAUCCCUUAAAAGUCUGGAGAGGCUCCCCUUUCUAACGUGUCUACCAAGCUGAGUUUUGUUUUUGUUUUGUUUUUUAACUUUUCAAUAUAGUCAUUUAAAUAAAUUAACCUCUAAGCCCCAGGAUGACGGAAACAUGGGAUUACUAUUCUUAAACAACUCUGUUGUUAAUCUUCAAAUGGUGUCAUUAGUCAAUUUUCCUCCAUAUUGCAUCAGUUCUGGGCUCACUGAAGGAAAAAUAAUUUCUUGGAGAACAUUUCUACGCAACUGAUGGAAAGGUGAAGCAGUUUAUAGAAUCACCAUUCUACUGACAGGAAUAAGCUGUUGAUGAGCUCCUGGAUGAAAAACUGUACCUGCUUUAGCAGUACAGGAUAACAGAGAUGUGAAGAGUGACAGGAAGCAUGAAAUCCUGACGAGCACACUUCCUUGAUACCCUCAGAAAGAUGUCCUUCUUGGGAAGAUGGUUAGCUCCAGUGACUUUAUGCUGUAACAUAUAAAAGAGAGAAUUGUUCCAGAGUAUGUUCCUCUGUGUUGCCAAUAAACUACCUUUUUGCUUGCUCCAGUGGGAGGAUGUAUUGAGGAGGGGGCUAAGUGGAGUAUGUAUGAAUAAAAUGAAAAUAAUUGGAUCUAUGGUAUACUCUGCAUUGAUGGGCAAAUGCCAAUAUUAUUUGAAAGCCCAGUAAAGGAGAGCGAAGUGAGAAGAGAAAGAAUUCAACUUAUAAAAUAAAAAAUCAAAAUAGCCAUGUCAACUCAGCCAGCCUCCUAUUAAUUUGGAAAUAAUCCAAUUUCAGCUGAGCCAUCCAAUUCCAGGGAUUAACAUAAAACUAAGUCAUUCCUAGGUAUAUCAAGAGUUUUCUAAGUGUAUUGGCUUCUUACUUUCAAGAAAGCAAAAUCUAUUUGGGGGCUAAUAUCCUUACAUGUUCUUAUUUAUUUUGGUGGAUUUAGUAGAGCCUGGACUGGUAUUCAAAGUUGUUUCAGGAGAAAAUCAAAGCAAAUUUACCAGAAGAAAAGUGUGUGCCAAAUAGUUAUUCAUUAAAGCAAACCAAACCAGGCUAGGCGCAGUGGUUCCCACCUGUAAUCUCAGCGCUUUGGGAGGCCAAGGUGGGCAGAUCACGAGGUCAG